rnacentral:rRNA from 1 species
AGACCUCCCUUGAGGGCCGUGGAAGACGACCACGUCGAUAGGCCGGGGGUGCAAGCGCGGUGACGCGUUGAGCCGACCGGUACUAAUCGCCCGAUUGACUUGAUCGCUCCCGUGAU